CCUACGGGGGGCUGCAGUGGGGAAUAUUGGACAAUGGGCGAAAGCCUGAUCCAGCCGUGCCGCGUGUGUGAAGAAGGCCUUCGGGUUGUAAAGCACUUUCAGUGGGGAAGAAAGCCUUGGGGCUAAUACCCUCGAGGAAGGACAUCACCCACAGAAGAAGCACCGGCUAACUCCGUGCCAGCAGCCGCGGUAAUACGGAGGGUGCGAGCGUUAAUCGGAAUUACUGGGCGUAAAGCGCGCGUAGGCGGUCUGAUAAGCCGGUUGUGAAAGCCCCGGGCUCAACCUGGGAACGGCAUCCGGAACUGUCAGGCUAGAGUGCAGGAGAGGAAGGUAGAAUUCACGGUGUAGCGGUGAAAUGCGUAGAGAUCGGGAGGAAUACCAGUGGCGAAGGCGGCCUUCUGGACUGACACUGACGCUGAGGUGCGAAAGCGUGGGUAGCAAACAGGAGUAGAUACCCGGGUAGUC
rnacentral:rRNA from 1 species